AUGACCUUUCCAUCCCUAUCGCAGAUUCACACAGGACAUGAUGAAAUAACGGCCCUUAUUGACUUAGGGCGUCUCGCCUUCCGGCGCACCUUCGGUCCCCCUGAGGUGGCUGCUUGGGACUCCCUCCUCCAGGACAUCGCUCUUCUUCCGAUGGACGUCGAGGACGCCCCUGGCUCCAUCUCUUGGAGUCUAGAGUCCUCUGGCCGCUUCACCACUAAAUCCUUAUACGCGGCCAUCGCUCCCUCGACGGCUCCUGAGUCCUUUAGUCUGAUCUGGGACAUUCACCUUCCUCUGAAGAUCCAGAUUUUCCUAUGGCAGUGGAUCCGGGGAUGCCUCCCCUCUGGGGUUGAGGUCCUCAAGCGUAAUGGACCAGGAGAUGGGAUUUGUCCCCUAUGCGGCACGGUUGAGGAUGCUAACCACAUCUUCUUCUCUUGCUCCACAGCCCAAUUCCUAUGGUCCUGUUUCCGCGAGACGGUUGGUGGAUAG
rnacentral:rRNA from 1 species